rnacentral:rRNA from 1 species
GACGAACGCUGGCGGCGUGCUUAACACAUGCAAGUCGAACGGAAAGGCCCUGCUUUUGUGGGGUGCUCGAGUGGCGAACGGGUGAGUAACACGUGAGUAACCUGCCCUUGACUUUGGGAUAACUUCAGGAAACUGGGGCUAAUACCGGAUAGGAGCUCCUGCUGCAUGGUGGGGGUUGGAAAGUUUCGGCGGUUGGGGAUGGACUCGCGGCUUAUCAGCUUGUUGGUGGGGUAGUGGCUUACCAAGGCUUUGACGGGUAGCCGGCCUGGGAGGGUGACCGGCGUCAUUGGGACUGAGAUACGCGCCAGACUCCUACGGGAGGCAGCAGUUGGGAAUAUUGCACAAUGGGCGGAAGCCUGAUGCAGCAACGCCGCGUGCGGGAUGACGGCCUUCGGGUUGUAAACCGCUUUCGCCUGUAACGAAGCGUGAGUGACGGUAAUGGGUAAAGAAGCACCGGCUAACUACGUG